rnacentral:lncRNA from 1 species
UGCAUCAAGCCUAAUGUUCUGGCUGCAGUUAGAGGGCAAUCUCUUCAGAACAGUGAGGAACUGAUAUUUAGUCAUUUCUGUGCACCCCUGGUCACGCAGUUGCGCCCCCCCCCCCUUUUUUUUCCUUAACUUUGUUGUUUUUUGCUUUGUUUGAAAAUGUUCUGAUUUCCUUUUGAAAGUGUUGAAAGUGUUCUGAUUUCC